AUGGUCACCGGAAAUUGCACCGCUAAAGCAACUGAUGACUUCUCUAAGCACAUAGAUGGGCAGUUGCUGCGAGUGAACGCUCUGCUGGUGGCGAGCACCAUCAUGAUAGGAGUUAUGGUCGGGAUGGGUGCCUAUGGUCAGCGCUACCGCCACCAUCCAUUGACCAGCUUCCUCUUCCUUGGUGCCAACAUUUUGUUCCUGCCCCUCCUCUCCUAUGUUGUCUCUACCAUCGGUAAUGAAGACCCUGUCGCUCUUUAUUCAUCUGAUCUACACAUCAUAACAGGGUGGUGUGACCCACAGGACCACAUCAUCUCUGUCUUGAUGUGGGCUAGUCUUGUUCUGAUUGCUGCCGUCAACACCACUGCCGUAGUUGCUGGUGAUGAUGACAAGAAAGGCCGAAACAUUGGCCCUCCUGCCACAGUACUGCUUAUUCAAGCAAUAUGGACUUCCUACCUUACCAUUGACUUCCUGGGAAAGGGUUAUUAUACAAUGCAAAAAUGGUCCUUAAAAGUGGUGGCGCCUGAAGACGUAUUGAUCCUUCUUUCACCGUUUGCUCUUAUUGUUGCCAAACUACUUAUCAAAUAUUAUGCUUGGUACAGUGCAAGAGGGUCAUUAGCGUUUGGGCGCAAUUCUCACCUCAUUGUUGGAUACAUGGAGCAGCUAAAAGAUGAAAGCCCACAUGCUGAGCUGGCCCUUCCUCCACUCAUAGUUACAGGAGAGGACACAACACUGGUACAGAAGGAGCCUCAUGGUUAUAGUCUCAAAUGGUUAUUCAACCAAGCUGACAGGACAAGGAUAGACAACAACGGCUUAGUGACCAUUGACAAAGUUUGGCGGUUGGAGGAUGACAUACUUCUGAGGUCUUCAAUGAAGCAGUUGAAAUAUUUAUGUUUCUCAUUUGCGUUGUUCAAGCUCCUAAGAUGUCGAUUCGCAAGCCAUACAAUUGCUGAGACUAGUAUCAUCAAGGCCCAUAACUUAUUGCCACGCGUGUUGCUCCAAGAUGGUGAUGAUGAAAGAGCAAUUGAGGUGAUCGCAGAUGAGCUUUGUUUCCUUCAUGAUUAUUAUUAUUCAUCUCUCCCAACCUCAUACUCAAGGAGUUGGCUGCCCAUUUUAAGCAUAUCUAUUUCACUCCUAAGCAUGGGUUGGAGCUUAUUCUAUAUAUUGGAGAUAACUUUUGCGAAUGUGGGCUAUACUUCAUGGGGAUCAUGGACAUGGAAUGACCACCGACAGAUUCACUGUCAAAUGUAUUGUGAUUCUGGGAUCUGGUUAAAAUAUGGAAGUACUUACUUCGAUGAUGCACCGGUGUUUUUACUUGCGGCACUAGUUGUGCUUGCUGAGGUGCGGGACAUUGCUUCUUACAUCUGCUCUAACUGGACUAAAGUAGUCAUGAUCUGCCACUAUGUUAGGCAUGCUUCUUCUUGGCAACAAUCACCUUGGAAGAAGAAGUUACUUGGUCGUCUGUUGCGCUGCAAAUGUAGGCUGCUAAAGCAUUGGGAGGACAAAAUGAAUCAGUGCUCAGUAUUUGCGCUCCACCCAAGCUCAACUCCAGUGGCUCUUCUCCGGCGCUUAAUCCCUCUUCUUUACAGGAAGAAGGUACCAAGAGCGGUGAAGACCGCUAUCCUCAAGCCAUUGAGAAGCCCCAGUUAUCGCCCAAGCAAUGGCGUGGCAUCCCUGUGCACAAGACUACAUCUACAGGCCGGCAACAACCCCCUCUCGGCAUCCAGUGACGUGAAAGGUGUAGCCUCUACCAUGCUCGUGGUCCACAUUGCCACGAGCAUCUUGGAAGAGAGAUCGGAGUCACACCAGCCCGAGUCUGCUCAUGAGACGGUUGCCACACACUUGUCACACUACUGUGCCUACUUGGUGGCCUACGCCCCCGAGCUACUCCCCGACGACAACCAGUGGUGCAAGAGCUUGUACAGGGCCAUCCAGAAGGAAGCCAAACAUGCAAUCGUGGUUGCUUGCCGCGUCGGGGUGGCGUUGAAUCCUGAAGGGCUGUCACAGGCGCUGAGCGCAGGGUCUGAGGCGCAACACGACCUGCUCAAGAAUGGUGUAGAGCUCGGGAGGAAGCUGCUCAAGAAUGGCGCCGAGCUCGGGAAGAAGCUGGUGGAACUGGCAGAGGGUGAAGGAGAAGAGGUGGCCUGGGAGGUCCUCGCCAACUUCUGGUCCGAGAUGAUUCUUUAUGCCGCUCCGUCAGACAACGUCGAUGCUCACGCAGAGGCCAUUGCGCGGGGCGGCGAAUUGAUAACGCUCAUUUGGGCAUUGCUCACCCACCUUGGGGUCGUCAGCCGGCCAGAGGCCGCUCCUGCCAUGCCUAACGCUCCUAGUGAUGUUUAA
rnacentral:rRNA from 1 species